CAGUUGCAUUGGAUCAGUUAUAUUUUCUGAAAGAUAUAUCUCUGUAAGCUUUUACCUCAACUUGAUAACAAUCAGCAAUGAAGAGGAAUAUACAUACAUACUGUAAAUCAAUAGUACUUUUUCAUUGAAUACAUCAAAAUGUAUCAGAAAAAAGUGGUAUUUAAAAAUCAAGGACAAUAAAUGCAUGCAAUCAGUAAGGCUUCCUAUAGUUUCUUGUCUCUCUAUCUCCAAGUUAAUAACAAGAAGCUGUUCUACAUUAUUAAUCAACAUUUGUGCAUUUCUAUUUUCAAUAUACGCCUUUUUCAUUCCAUCCCAUGCAGAACGAGUAUCUCCAGUCUGAGGUCUCUACCUCCGUCUGUUCUUCCUAAAACACGUAAUCAUUGCUUCUUUAUCAAUAAAAUGUAUAAUUGAAUGCAUAUGUUGGGAUAGAUUUCCAUUAUGCUAUGACUCAGUAACAUUUAUUUUAGAUACCUAACAAAAUUCAUAAAAAUAAAAGUGUAUCCAUUUGAUUGGAUAUGUAAUUACUGAAACAGUUAUUAACCUCAUAGGAAACCCAACUUUAGAGUUUAUCUGAAAAGGAUUAAUUGCAGAAACUAUGAAAACGUCUCAUAGAAUUCUGAAGCAGGUUUAUCAUUAUCAUGUUUCUUGAUUUCAAAGAGAAGGAAAAGGGAAUACACAUGAACUCAAGGCAGGAAAGAAAAUGAAACAUUGCAAAGGGCAUUCCUAAAAAGCUGAUAUAAAACAGUUAUUAUUCAGUUAGCAUUACAGGAGAAUAGUUGAGAUUCAUAUAUAUGAAGAGCAGCAUGAAAUUUAGAGAAAAUAUUUCUUUUACAACAUACUGACACAUUUAAUGUAGACAGUCAAAAUAUGCACUAUGCCUUUGUUGGAAUACCUUAGACGUAGUUUGGAUAAAUGAAUACAAUGUACUGAUCAAUGUAACAAAGUACUUGAAUAGAAACACAUGAAGCCGUUCUUGGUUGUGUUCUGCUAGUCAGAAUUAUAUUAUCGGAUUAUCUUUUGUAAUGCCAUUUCUUUUGGAUCAAGUGUAUGAAAAACAAUAUAUUGUUGAUGUAUCUAUAAAUCGUAUAUGGGUCUCUCUUGAUUUAGAAUUAAAUGAUUUUGUAUGUAGCAAUACAUUUUCACAUGCCAAAGUGAUAAUGGGCUCUCAUGCAGUACUGGUUAGUGUAGUGCGAAUUAUUGUGAUAGGCCGUUAUUUAUGGUAAUUGGUCAUUGUAUCAUUAUUCAUGUAUUUUCAUGUAGCACUGUGAUAGCACAACCAUUAUAAUAUUUCAUGUCCCAUCAAAAGAACACAUCAUGCGACAUUUGUAAAUGAUGUAUCAUAUAUAUAAGAUUCUUGUAAUGGGUACUUUAUGUAACAGAUAUCUGACAUGUCUGUCAAAUUUUGGCUGGGAGCUUCUAACAAGAAAUCCUGUUGUAUGGUAGGAAACAUUCCUGAGAUGACAAAAUAUGUAUUUUUUUUCUCUAUGAGUUUCUGAAGCAUACAUAUGAGAAAUAUUAUACCUUGAGAGGUAAACAGUAAGAAAUGUUUAAACAAAAAAUCUAACAGGCAAAAAACAAACAAAAAACAAGAAAUCUUGUUAGAUAUUGCAGGCCAAAAUCUGCCAGCAUGUUUUUAGCAAAAUGAUGUCAAGCACAAAGGUUGAUGUAAGGUGCCUUGCAAAAUAUAAUAUCAGUAACAAGUACAAGUAAGUCUUUUUACUAGUACGAGCAUGUAGUGGUUAGGUGUUGUGUAAUGUCAUUUGGUACAAAAACUACAAGGUGCAUUUCAUAAGAAAUUGCAGGUGUUGCAAAUAUAUAUUAUUCAUGUUUAAGGUAAUUUUCAUAAUGGUACUAAACAAUUAAGUAUGUUAUAUCUUGACCUUCAUAAUUAUAGUAUGACUCCAUACUUAUGAUGUGGAUUAAGUUUCUUGUACCAAAUAUAAUGAGAUUGAAUGCUACAAUCACUGCAAAAUAUACUCUGUUACAUUCAUCAUUAUGCCUUCAAUUUUGCAUUUUGUUGCAUAUUUUCAUCCAGAAUCAAUUGAUGGCCAAAUAUCAAUAUUCAUAUUCUACUGGAACAAUGUUUUUUUUUCUUUCUUUCUUCCAUCAUUUCUUUAAUAAUGAUAUUUUUUGUAUAAUUCUAGAUUUGUUGUUUUGUAGUUCCAUACAUUCCUACUCUGGAUUCACUUCCCCUUUGCAUUUACUCGCAUAUAACUGGUUUAGUAAUGAUGCAAUCAUUCUCUUGCAAUAUUCUUCAUUUACUGACAAACAGAGGGGAAGAUCCUUCAAUUCUACAUGAAUAUAGGUAAAGAACUUGCUUCCUAUACCACUAUUAUGAGUUAUGUAUUUUUUUUUUAUAGUGUUAUCAUACAAAUUAUUCUACUUCUGAAUUAAAAAUUGAUUUUUUUUUUUUUUUUUUUUUUUUUUUUAAUGUUUUCAUCAAAUAAACUUUUGUUUUACAUAAGUAAAAUGAAACUAAAGCCUUUCUUUUUUGUUCAGUUUUUCUUAAAGAGCUUUGAAUAAGGCUCUUAUUACAUGCCAAAAAUGCACAAUCCCCUAAAAACAUGUUGAUUUGUUGUUUCAGGACAAGACUAUCAAAAUAAUAACCAAAGUUUUUGGGAUCCUCUGUGUAAACAAGGAAAUAUGUUGAGGCAACUUUGUAUACACUUUAGUUGAAUUAUUUCAUAGUUUAAGGUUAAUAAAAGAUCAUCCAACA
rnacentral:lncRNA from 1 species